AUGGACAGCGGCGGCGGGCGGCCAUCGCUUCCGUCCGCGGCUGCGGCGGCGGGAGGAGCCUCCGUCCCGGACGAGCCUCGCGACGCGCGCGUGGUGCGGGAGCUCCUCCGGUCCAUGGGGCUCCGCGAGGGCGAGUACGAGCCGCGCGUCGUGCACCAGUUCCUGGACCUGGCCUACCGCUACGUCGGGGACGUGCUCGGCGACGCCCAGGUCUACGCCGACCACGCGGCCAAGCCCCAGCUCGACGCCGACGACGUCCGCCUCGCCAUCCAGGCCAACGUCAACUUCUCCUUCUUCCAGCCGCCGCCCCGCAAGGUUCUACUUGAAUUGGCACGCAGCCGGAACAAGAUCCCGCUGCCCAAGUCUAUUCCUCCAUCUGGCUCAAUUCCUCUGUCACCUGAGCAGGACACACUGUUGAGUGAAAACUACCAGCUCCUACCCACACUGAAGCCACCAACUCAGACUGAAGAAAUAGAAGAUUUUUGA
rnacentral:rRNA from 1 species